AACGAACGCUGGCGGCAGGCCUAACACAUGCAAGUCGAACGCCGUAGCAAUACGGAGUGGCAGACGGGUGAGUAACGCGUGGGAACGUACCUUUCGGUUCGGAAUAACCCGGGGAAACUCGGGCUAAUACCGGAUACGUCCGCAAGGAGAAAGAUUUAUCGCCGAUUGAUCGGCCCGCGUCGGAUUAGCUAGUUGGUGAGGUAACGGCCCACCAAGGCGACGAUCCGUAGCUGGUCUGAGAGGAUGAUCAGCCACACUGGGACUGAGACACGGCCCAGACUCCUACGGGAGGCAGCAGUGGGGAAUAUUGGACAAUGGGCGAAAGCCUGAUCCAGCCAUGCCGCGUGAGUGAAGAAGGCCUUAGGGUUGUAAAGCUCUUUCAGCGGGGAAGAUAAUGACGGUACCCGCAGAAGAAGUCCCGGCUAACUUCGUGCCAGCCGCCGCAGUAAAAC
rnacentral:rRNA from 1 species